GGGUCAGCAGGUUGGUCGUGCCACUGGUAUGCACUGGCUUCGCUGAUUCCUCCUUUCUGAAGAACUGUAAUGUCAUUAAUUUGGUGUUGCAGGGAAACAGGACUGUUACUUUGAAAAAAUUAGAGUGUUUAAAGCAGGCUUACGCUUGAAUACAUUAGCAUGGAAUAAUUGAAAUAGGACGUUUAAUUCUAUUUUGUUGGUUUCUAGGAUUGACGUAAUGAUUAAUAGGGAUAGUUGGGC
rnacentral:rRNA from 1 species